rnacentral:tRNA from 1 species
GCUGGAGAUGUAGCUGAGUGGUAGAGUACACACCUAGCAUGUGCGAGGCCCUGAGUUCAAUCCCAGGCACAGCA